AUCACUUCUCGGCCUUUCUGCUAAGAUCAAGUGUAAUAUUAAUUUUAAUGUUUAA
rnacentral:snRNA from 1 species